CGUGGGGAGAUCAGCGUAUCCGGACCGCGCUCAGAGGGAAGCCAUGAUCCUGUCGUCCUUUGCUGGAAUCAUCAUGAGCAGCGUCCCGCUGGAGCAGAUCCUGGAUCUGUACAGCUGCAAACCCGUGGCUCUGUACCCCAGCCACUCGUCCCAGCCGCAGGGUUCCAUCGUGUACCCCCUCACUCUGUCCCACCACCCGUUUGCCAUGUUGGCGUCUUACAAAGCCGUGCUGCACUCCAGGAAGCACA